rnacentral:rRNA from 1 species
CGCUGGCGGCGUGCCUAAUACAUGCAAGUCGAACGCACUCUCGUUUAGAUUGAAGGAGCUUGCUCCUGAUUGAUAAACAUUUGAGUGAGUGGCGGACGGGUGAGUAACACGUGGGUAACCUGCCCUAAAGUGGGGGAUAACAUUUGGAAACAGAUGCUAAUACCGCAUAAAACCUAACACCGCAUGGUGUAGGGUUGAAAGAUGGUUUCGGCUAUCACUUUAGGAUGGACCCGCGGUGCAUUAGUUAGUUGGUGAGGUAAAAGGCUCACCAAGACCGUGAUGCAUAGCCGACCUGAGAGGGUAAUCGGCCACACUGGGACUGAGACACGGCCCAGACUCCUACGGGAGGCAGCAGUAGGGAAUCUUCCACAAUGGACGAAAGUCUGAUGGAGCAACGCCGCGUGAGUGAAGAAGGUUUUCGGAUCGUAAAACUCUGUUGUUGGAGAAGAAUGUAUCUGAUAGUAACUGAUCAGGUAGUGACGGUAUCCAACCAGAAAGCCACGGCUAACUACGUG